rnacentral:lncRNA from 1 species
UCUUAAUAUAGCUUGAAGCCCAUAUUUACCCAAUUAAAAUAUGAGUGAUCCAAGUCAUUAAAUAUGAAUAAAAUAGACUCAUUUCGUUAAUAUGGGCUGAAAUUGUCACCCUAAUAUGAAAGAGUCUUGUUGUCAAUAAAGAUCAAUCACAGAGGACUCUCUCCUGUUUAUAUAUGAGGCUCACUCAUUUCAGUUAUCUCUAGCUUUCUUAUGAGUUCAGGUAUCGUAUGGAAUAUAAUCCACGGAUCAUUAGGAACCUAUGUAAUAGUAUCCCAAUCAAAUAGCUGAUGAGCGGAUAAAUAGUGAUUGGAAAAUAUUGUCAAUUUGGUCUGAUGAUUUUACGUGAUGAGUUAUUACCCUACCAAUCUAACAUUAUCAUUCAUGCUUUAGUCAUACGCCAGGAAAACCUUCCAACUUCACCUAACUUUUGUUAGGAAGAAUAUGCUGCUUCACUCUAGAAUGGAUCAUGAUCCUUUCUUAAGUAAAGUGGAGAUCUUUACGCGAAUAGCCGAGCAGAUUUACUGUUUACUUUUUAGAAGGCCACAUUUUAUGAUCUUUGUUUGGAGCUCACUCAAGCUAUAAUUAUGCUAUGAAUUAUAUAUAUUGAAAAAAUAAUGAGUAUUGAACGUAUCGUUUCAAGUUUCUCCCAUUCUUUUUGGCACAUUACACUAUGAAGUGAACAUCUCCCACAUUCAUCAACAAAUUCAAUUUUUAUACCACUUCUUCUUUAAAAAUCCCAAAAUUCAUCCGUCUGCCUAUUUACGCUAUCGGAGAACCCACAAGCUUUGUCAACCUAUGGUAGCAUCUAGCGAAGCAAUUAUCGAUGCAUUUUAAGAAAAAGUUCAAGCUCUUCUAAAUCUUGUUCAUGAUCGUUUCCAUGGAAUGAUUAAUAGUUAAUAUUCUGAACUCAUCGAUUUAAUAUUUUCGUCAAUAGAUUCACUCAUAUUUUUUGCCAAUGGUGGUGUAGUGAUUUGGAAGAAGCAAGAUAUAAGUAAAAUGAAAGUGCAGGUUAGGUUAGUAAUGGUGUAAUGGGUGUGGUGAGUUUGCAGGAAGAGUGGAGAAGAAGAGAAAUAAAUUAGAAGUUAAUAUUAAAGAAAAUGAAGAGUUUGUUGAAGGCUAUAAAACAAGUGGAUCUGGUGAUAUCAACUGUUGGUGCAAUGCAAUUCCGCUGAUCAAGUUAAGAUCAUUGAUGCUAUCAAAGAAGCUGGCAAUAUUAAGGUUAAUUACUUCUUGUUUUUCGAAACGGGGUUGAACUCGAGACCUCUGGUUAAGGAUGGAGGGAUCUUAUUUAUCUGUAUGCAACAUGGGACAGAGGGGAUAAUGGAGUAUGGGGAUCUUGAUUACAGUAAUUGUUGAUGAAAAUUCUUGAAUUUAUCGAUAAACAUUUGAAUUAGAGAAUUUGGCUUAAAUCUAUGUUGCUCAGAUACUUCAAUAAUGUUGAUGGUUGCAUGUUGGAUCGUCCAAAAGUAGUGUAUUUUUGGAGGAUCCAACAUGGGUUCAGCAACAUAAUUGGAUAGUCCGAGCAACAUAGCCUCCAAUUAAGGGAGUAUUCGUCUCGUUGAUUUAAGGUUAUAAAAUGAGUUAGAUUACUAAUUGUUAACAUGGCCUAGUGGAACAUCUUGAUCUGCAUAACCAAGUGUAUGACAGAAAUAUGCAGCAAGUUCGCGUAAAUGCCUCAAAUUAGGAAGAGAUGAACGCUGUGGAGCCAAUAAAGUCUACAUUGGCUGUGAAAUCCCAAAUCCGAAGAGCUAUUGAGGCUGCAGAAAUUCCCUAUACUUAUGUCUUAUGCAACUGUUUUGCUGGUUAUUUUUUAGCAACUUUGGUCCAGCCAGGAGCCACUGCUCCUCCUCGAGACAAAGUCAUCAUUACCGGAGAUGGAAUUGUUAAGGGUAAGUCAAGAAAAAAUCCUUAGGUGGUGACUCCAUUGAUUUGAAUGUGGUACGUGCGCCAACAGAACAAGUUCAUGACAAAAUGUCUCAUUUUUGUUUACUUUUUUUCUGCUUUGUUUCUGUUUGUCUGCAGCUGUAUUCAAUGAAGAACAUGACAUUGGCACCUACACCAUUAAGGCUGUUGAUGACCCGAGAAUGUUGAACAAGUCCCUUUACAUCAGGCCUCCCAAGAACACCUUAUCGUUCAACGAGCUUGUGGCUAUAUGGGAGAAACUGAUUGGUAAAACUCUCGAGAAAAUCUACGUUCCAGAGGAGCAAAUUCUCAAAGACAUCCAGAGUCAGUAAUCUUUAUAUCAUUCAUAUUUAGUCAAGACUACUGUUUCUUUCAAUUUAACAUAGGUAAUCCUGACAAUGUAUAUUGCAUACUGUUGCAGCAUCUCCAAUGCCAAUCAAUAUCGUACUAGCAAUCAACCACUCAACAUUCGUGAAGGGUGAUCAAACCAAUUUUGAGAUUGAGCCAUCGUUUGGGGUUGAGGCCUCAGAACUUUAUCCAGAUGUUAAGUACACCACCGUGGAGGAGUACAUUGGCCACUUUGUCUAAACCACACGUUUGAUGUCUUCGAUCACUCAAAUAAACUGUUAGAUGAUCUAGUGUUAUCAGACAUUUUAUCUGGAAGUAUGAGUGCUUGUUAACUAUGUCAUCAGAGACACAUUGAAUGGUAUGUUUUAAGUCUGUUUUUUCUGUCCAUACUGAGUAGUACUAUAAUGAAACUACAGAAAACGGAAGAUACAUUCGCGUCUUUUUACUUUUUACAUUGUUGCUCUACCAUCUUGUACCAGAUUUUAAGGUGUGAUGUAAUAUGAAAGAGUCUUGUUGUCAAUAAAGAUCAAUCAAAGAGGACUCUCUACUGUUUAUAAAUGAGGCUCACUCAUUUCAGUUUUCUCUAGCUUUCUUAUGAGUUCAAGUAUCGUAUGGAACAUAAUCCACGGAUCGUUUGCCUUAAAAUCUAAAGAAUUCCGUUAGGAACCUAUGUAAUAGUAUCCCGAUCAAAUAGCUGAUGAGCGGAUAUAUAGUGAUUGGAAAAUAUUGUCAAUUUGGUAUGAUGAUUUUACAUGAUGAGUUAUUACCCUACCAAUCUAACAUUAUCAUUCAUGCUUUAGUCAUAC